rnacentral:rRNA from 1 species
UUCUAGAGAUGAAAGUUACUUCGGUACAUCGGUGACAGGUGGUGCAUGGUUGUCGUCAGCUCGUGUCGUGAGAUGUUGGGUUAAGUCCCGCAACGAGCGCAACCCCUAUUGUUAGUUGCCAUCAUUCAGUUGGGCACUCUAGCGAGACUGCCGGUAAUAAACCGGAGGAAGGUGGGGAUGACGUCAAAUCAUCAUGCCCCUUAUGACCUGGGCUACACACGUGCUACAAUGGUUGGUACAACGAGUUGCGAGUCGGUGACGGCGAGCUAAUCUCUUAAAGCCAAUCUCAGUUCGGAUUGUAGGCUGCAACUCGCCUACAUGAAGUCGGAAUCGCUAGUAAUCGCGGAUCAGCACGCCGCGGUCGAAUACGUUCCGGGCCUU